rnacentral:rRNA from 1 species
UACGUAGGGGGCAAGCGUUGUUCGGAAUCACUGGGCGUAAAGCGCGAGCAGGCGGUUUGUUAAGUCUGGUGUGAAAGCCCACGGCUCAACCGCGGAACUGCACUGGAAACUGCGGAGCUCGAGUCCCGGAGAGGAAAGUGGAAUUCCAGGUGUAGUGGUGAAAUACGUAGAGAUCUGGAGGAACACCAGCGGCGAAGGCGGCCAUCUGGACGGUUACUGACGCUGAGACGAGAAAGCGUGGGGAGCAAACAGG